AUUUGUGUUACUGUGAUAGGUAAUUCUAUUGCCAUUUUAAUCUUAGGUUAAUUUAACACUUCAUAUGAAGUAACUUUUAAGGAGGUUGUGAUAAUUUCUUUGAAGAUAGAUUAUGUUUUAUAUUCUUUUUAUGAUUGUUGACUGUAUGUCUUCUGUGAUUUUAUUCGUUGGUCGGGCAGGGAGCCAGGGACUUGAGCAAAACCAUGCAGAUAUUUACUUGAGCAUUCACUGCUGACUUAAUUUCCAUCUUAUUGAACUCUAAAAACUGAUAUACAAAAGCCCUUGACAUCUCUUUCAAUGAAUUAUA
rnacentral:misc_RNA from 1 species